rnacentral:tRNA from 1 species
GGGGGUAUAGCUCAACUGGUAGAGCGCAUGCUUAGCACACAUCCUGGGUUCAAUCCCCAGUACCUCCU